rnacentral:misc_RNA from 1 species
UGGUCCUGCCAAUCGAUGAG